GGCUGCAUCUGCCCCCGAGCCACAUAGCACAGAAAGCCAGCCACGAGGGCUCUGUACAGGGCAGGCCUAAAAGAGUGGUUGGAUCACCUUUGGCCCUUGCCCCUGCUUGUCUCCUCAGGAAACUCAGGCCCCAAAACUCUCAGCCCAGGUAGAAUUUGUCAGAGUGGAGGUGCUAAGGAGUAGGGAAAACCAGAAUGGGGUAUCACAUCUUGAACUAGGGUGAGAACCCCUUAAUGAGGUGGCCAGAGGCACUUCCAGGAGUCUCUAAGACCUGUUUCUCCCCACCCACCUAGGGGUAUGGUGGGGGCCUCAUGUUUCUUUGCCACCAUGCUGACAGCAUUAACUUUUCUGCCUUCCAGCCAAUCAACAAUGCUGACUUCAUAGUGCCUAUAGAGAUUGAGGGGACCACUCACCAGGUGAGCUGCCAGCCAGACCACACCCAGCCCAGAGGGUGGGGGGUCUGCCUUCUACAUUUCUCUGUUCCUUAAGAAAGGUAUCUAUACCUGUUAAGAUACCUUAACCAGGUAUCUCUUUGCCUGUAACAGGCAGGGAAGGUGGGUGGGGUUCUCUCCUCCCUCCCUCCCUCCUCCUGGGGUGGGAGGGCGCUCCUAUUCCCAUCUCUGUGUUCCCUGGAGGCAGGUAUCACAAAGCAUUUGUGAAUUGCUUUAGGUGCAGGGACACCACCCACUCAGGACUCUUCCCCAUCAUCCCUUCCAUUGCCACACCCUAGAUCCAGCCUCAGGAACUAACAAGUUUUGAGAAAAGCAGGUAGUAGAGCAGCAGCUUGGUGCUCUCAGCGGUGGCUGGCUGGCAUUUUUCUCUAGCGUUGUG
rnacentral:lncRNA from 1 species